GUACAGCUAUGGUUACUUUUGAAAGAAGGCACUAUUUCCCUGAUGCUCUCCUGCAGAGACACUGGACAGGAACCUAGCAUAACUCCUCUGAGACGCCACCCAGCAGCCAAUGGAAAGAGAUGCAGAGACUCACAACCAAACAGUAGAUGGAGCUCGGGAGUAAGAAGUUGGUAGAAGAGCUGGGAAAAUGACUGAGGGACCCUAAGAGGACAGGGACUCCACAGGAAGACCAACAGAGUCAACUAACCUGGACCCUUGGAGGCUCCCAGAGACUGAACCACCAACCAAAGAGCGAGCACAGGCUGGACCUAGGCCCAUUAUAUCAGACGAGCAGCUUGGUUUUCAUAGAGAUCCCCCAACAUAGCAGGGAUUCCCUGAGCCUGCUGCCUGCCUGCCUGCCUGCCUGCCUGUGGAUCCUGCUAAAUGGACAGCCUUGUCUGGCCUCAGUGGGAG
rnacentral:lncRNA from 1 species